GCCCAGGUGGUGAAAUCGGUAGACACGCUAGUUUCAGGGACUAGUGAUCGCAAGGUCGUGAAGGUUCGAGUCCUUUCCUGGGCAC
rnacentral:tRNA from 1 species